rnacentral:rRNA from 1 species
AUUGAACGCUGGCGGAAUGCUUUACACAUGCAAGUCGAACGGUAGAGGGGGCAACCCCUCGAGAGUGGCGAACGGGUGAGUAAUAUAUCGGAACGUGCCCAGUCGUGGGGGAUAACGUAGCGAAAGUUACGCUAAUACCGCAUACGAUCUACGGAUGAAAGCGGGGGAUCGCAAGACCUCGCGCGAUUGGAGCGGCCGAUAUCAGAUUAGGUAGUUGGUGGGGUAAAGGCUCACCAAGCCAACGAUCUGUAGCUGGUCUGAGAGGACGACCAGCCACACUGGAACUGAGACACGGUCCAGACUCCUACGGGAGGCAGCAGUGGGGAAUUUUGGACAAUGGACGCAAGUCUGAUCCAGCCAUUCCGCGUGCAGGAUGAAGGCCCUCGGGUUGUAAACUGCUUUUGUACGGAACGAAAAGGUUUCCAUUAAUACUGGGAGCUCAUGACGGUACCGUAAGAAUAAGCACCGGCUAACUACGUGCCAGCAGCCGCCGCUG